GACGAACGCUGGCGGCAUGCCUAAUACAUGCAAGUCGAGCGAACAGAUGAAGUGCUUGCACUUCUGACGUUAGCGGCGAACGGGUGAGUAACACGUAAGGAAUCUACCUAUAAGCGGGGGAUAACAUUCGGAAACGGGUGCUAAUACCGCAUAAUAUCUUCUUCCGCAUGGAAGAAGAUUGAAAGACGGCUCUGCUGUCACUUAUAGAUGACCUCGCGGUGCAUUAGUUAGUUGGUGGGGUAAGGGCCUACCAAGACGAUGAGGCAUAGCCGACCUGAGAGGGUGAUCGGCCACAGUGGGACUGAGACACGGCCCAAACUCCUACGGGAGGCAGCAGUAGGGAAUCUUCCGCAAUGGGCGAAAGCCUGACGGAGCAAUGCCGCGUGAGUGAAGAAGGCCUUCGGGUCGUAAAACUCUGUUAUAAGAGAAGAACAAAUUGUAGAGUAACUGCUACAGUCUUGACGGUAUCUUAUCAGAAAGCCACGGCUAACUACGUGCCAGCCGCCGCCGUAA
rnacentral:rRNA from 1 species